AUUUGGCCACAUGUAUUAAUCAGUUUUUGUGCUCCUUUAUUAAUUGAAGGAAAGACUUUUGGAGUUCACAGAUGUAGAUUCUAGGUGAUAAAGACCUAAAGUAUAUGUAAAUUGAAUAAUUGGCUUCGAACAAAUGGGUUAAAAGUACACAUAAAAAUAGAAUUAUUAACUCAAAACUUCAUUGUACUUGAAAACGCAAUCAUAAAGCCGUCCUCCAAGAAACUGAGCAACCUCUGGAUGUUUCACCUGAUUUAAAAAAAGAUAGAAAAAUGCAAAAGGAUAGAUUUAUCAUGAAUUUAAUAAAAUCCUACAAAUCAAUAUUCAUUUACUGAUAUUCUCACUAAACAAAAGUAAAAUAACUUAAACAGUUACCAUUCCAAUCUUGAGAGAAUCACACUUAAACUGAGCAUAAAGAUUUGUCUCUAUCGCGCGACCCUGCCACAAGCGUCAAAUGUUUAGGUGCAACUUGUUGGAGAGUUCAACAUUCUACUGAAUAUAUAAAUGCUUAAUUAAAACCUUUAAUUAUAAGGCAAAAUGCAAUUUCUCCCACACUUUAAUUUGGGCCAAUCAAGCCCUUUUACUAAUUGAACUUAGUUAAUUACAUCCAAAAACUAAUGUCAUUUUAUACCAUUAAAUAUUUGGUAAAGGUGACAAAUAUAAAAGAAAAUUUAUAAUUUAAAAAUUAGUAGGACCAAUUAGUUCUUUCUCCUCUUUAUUCCCAUUUUAGAUAGACAACUUUCUUUUUAUAGUGAGAAAGUAGAUUUGGCUUUUCUAAUGGCUGGCCUCCUUGCGGCUAAUAGCUAGCAUUCCCCUCUAUUUUUUCAUCCACCCUCCCUUUAAUCCCUUCUACCUCAUGCCUAAUUUAUAAUUCCUUGGUCUUUUUAUUUAUUUAUUUGUCUUUAUUGGAAUCGUGGUUUCAUCUACAAGCCAAACCAAAUAUGGGUUUGGCUUUCUUCUAUCUCUCUCAAGAGCAAUGGAGUUAUCUAAUAUGGGUUUGGUUUUUGGUUUAAGGGAGUAAAGACCUGUGAUUAUGGAGGUGUUUGUCCUCCCUCUCCAAUUCGAGACUUUCUCAAGCAUAUUGGAGUCUUUUAUCGCAACCUCGUUUUUAUUGCUUCAUAUUUGUUUAGGAUUUUCAGAAUUCCAUUUUUAUGAAUGUCUGAUGUAAGUUCACUCCUGCUGUAUUACUACACAGGACGUUUCAUUAAAUGAGAUUUGUUAGGAUAGUUGAUUGCACCAUAAUCCACAAAUAUUUGUCCUAUCAAAAACAAAUGGGGGGAGAAAAGAAAGAAUGAAUGGAUCCCACCAUUAUUUCUAUACGAAUUCAUUUUUUACAUAUAUGUCAGCUUUACUAAAAAAUUACUGGCAUGAAUCAAUGGUGUUAAUUUUUGGGUCUUAUUAAACAAAUUCAAAUAGAAAGAGGGUUUGAUUGGCCCUAAUUAAAGUAUGAGGAGGACAUUGUUUUUCGACCAAUAGUUGAAGGGUUUAAUUAAGCAUUUGGCCCUAUUUAUUUCAUUCAUAGCCACACACUAGAACUUUCUAUCCUGCCAUCUUAAUGGGGCUCUCUCUUUUUCCUUGGUCAACAAACAACAAUUGAACCCCUACCACCCUCUAUCACUUCAGUAUGAGAAAACCAAAGUUGCCAAUAUCAUUUUGGAAGCUAAUAUAGAUUUCUAAUUGAUGUGAGCUAUGUCAAUACUGGUGCCAUUCUGAAAUUAUCACUAAAAUAUUUCUUAAAAAUUAUGGGUUAAUGACUCAAAUAAUCAAAGCUUUGGCUGCCCAUUCUUUUUUGACAUCUAAAUGUAUAUUACAGUUAUUUUCAUUACUUUUCGUUAAUUACUUUCUAAUGGAUUCCAGGAAAUUAUUCUUUUAUUUUUAUUUAUUUAUU
rnacentral:misc_RNA from 1 species